rnacentral:rRNA from 1 species
UACGUAGGGUGCAAGCGUUGUCCGGAAUUAUUGGGCGUAAAGAGCUCGUAGGCGGUCUGUCGCGUCUGCUGUGAAAACCUAGGGCUUAACUCUGGGCGUGCAGUGGGUACGGGCAGGCUAGAGUGCGGUAGGGGAGACUGGAAUUCCUGGUGUAGCGGUGAAAUGCGCAGAUAUCAGGAGGAACACCCGUGGCGAAGGCGGCUCUCUGGGACGGUACUGACGCUGAGACGCGAAAGCGUGGGGAGCGAACAGG